rnacentral:rRNA from 1 species
AGUGAACGCUGGCGGUAGGCCUAACACAUGCAAGUCGAACGGCAGCACAGUAAGAGCUUGCUCUUACGGGUGGCGAGUGGCGGACGGGUGAGGAAUACAUCGGAAUCUACUUUUUCGUGGGGGAUAACGUAGGGAAACUUACGCUAAUACCGCAUACGACCUACGGGUGAAAGCAGUGGAUCUUCGGACCUUGCGCGAUUGAAUGAGCCGAUGUCGGAUUAGCUAGUUGGCGGGGUAAAGGCCCACCAAGGCGACGAUCCGUAGCUGGUCUGAGAGGAUGAUCGGCCACACUGGAACUGAGACACGGUCCAGACUCCUACGGGAGGCAGCAGUGGGGAAUAUUGGACAAUGGGCGCAAGCCUGAUCCAGCCAUACCGCGUGGGUGAAGAAGGCCUUCGGGUUGUAAAGCCCUUUUGUUGGGAAAGAAAAGCAGCAGGUUAAUCCCCCGCUGUUCUGACGGUACCCAAAGAAUAAGCACCGGCUAACUUCGUG